AUAAAAGCUUUGACCGUGUAAGUAGAGUGUUGCCUUCCCAUAGAGAGAGGAGAUCGCUGGCUGAAAGUUUCCUUGGGUUCAGACGAUACUUGAAUUUCCCACGUGAGCCGUAUCUUUGAAGUCUUGGCAGACGACUGGAAAGUAAACCGUGAUCGGAAGGAUUUACGCCGGAAUCGUGUUUGGCAGGAUGGUAGGAGAUAACGUCAGAUGCACGUUACGCAUGAAUGAGUGCCCGUAUGGAAGCAUCCGGUAUCCGGAUGGCAGGAAUGCGGGAAUCAGGGUGGUAUCACGGGUAGUUGCUCGUCCCUUUU
rnacentral:ncRNA from 1 species